GAAAAUGAUGAUAGUGAUUGUCGCCCAGUCUUAUUUGCAUCCAAGAGAUGCAAGGUGGUGAAUGACUUACUUAUAUCUGAUUU
rnacentral:snoRNA from 1 species